rnacentral:rRNA from 1 species
GAUGAACGCUGGCGGCGUGCUUAACACAUGCAAGUCGAACGGAAAGGCCGAAGCUUGCUUCGGUACUCGAGUGGCGAACGGGUGAGUAACACGUGGGAGAUCUGCCCUGUACUUCGGGAUAAGCUUGGGAAACUGGGUCUAAUACCGGAUAUGACAAUCACUUGGAUGGGGUUGUGGAAAGCUUUGGCGGCAGGGGAUGAGCUCGCGGCCUAUCAGCUUGUUGGUGGGGUAAUGGCCUACCAAGGCGUCGCCGGGUAGCCGGCCUGAGAGGGUGUACGGCGACAUUGGGACUGAGAUACGGCCCAGACUCAUACGGGAGGCAGAAGUGGGGAAUAUUGCACAAUGGGCGCAAGCCUGAUGCAGCGACGCCGCGUGGGGGAUGACGGCCUUCGGGUUGUAAACUCCUUUCGCAACGGACGAAGCUUUUGUGACGGUAGGUUGAGAAGAAGCACCGGCUAACUACGUG